GUAGCAGGGCGCAUGCGCAUUCUCCUCCUUGGCACGGGAUGGGGCGAUUUGAAGAGGAGCAUUCACACAGCAAUCUUGCAAGAGAAAGCAGGCCCGACAGCAUCCAAGGAGCAGGAAAAUCGACGUUUCGGGCAAAAGCCCUUCAUCAGGAUUGAAGGCAAGGAUGCCCAGAGGCAUGGUACAUUGGGGAAAUCGAGCAAAGGCUACAACAAUGGAUGAAUGGGCACUGCACAACAAUCAAGAGACAGCAGUGUUCCGUCCCAGUCGGGGAACACUUCAGUGGUCCAGGACAUUCGACCUCGGACCUUCGGGUGACCAUCCUCCAAGGCGGACUUCGGGACAGGCAGCAGCAAAAGGUGGCUGAUAGCUAAGUUCGGUACCCAUAGGGAGGGCCUCAACCGGGACCUUGGGUUCAUGUCACAUUACAGGUCACCACCAUUGUACUAUAAACUCACACUCUCUCACAUACACACAGGCACUCCUACACACAUACACAUGGACACACAUAUACACAGAAGCGGGCACAGACACUCACAAAUACCCUUACAGAUACACAUACUCCCACACUCUCACAUGCACCCCCUCACAGACUUAAGACACUCUGCACUCACUACGCGCGCACGCACACACGCACACUUUCUCACACACUCAACCCCCAACCCAGACAGACAGACACGCACACAGGUAGACAAAAACCGAAAUGCGCACAUCUAU